AUUGAACGCUGGCGGCAGGCCUAACACAUGCAAGUCGAGCGAGCGGCGGACGUGUGAGGAAUGUAUGGGGACUGCACGAUAGAGGGGGAUAACUACUGGAAACGGUGGCUAAUACCGCAUACUAUCGGAUAACCCAUAUGGGAUUAGCUAGUAGGUGGGGUAAAGGCUCACCUCGGCGACGAUCUCUAGCUGGUCUGGGAGGAUGAUCAGCCACACUGCUACUGAGACACGGACCAGCCUCCUACGGAUGCAGCAGUGGGGAAUAUUGCACAAUGUGUGCAAGCCUGAUGCAGCCAUGCCGCGUGUAUGAAGAAGGCCUUAGGGUUGUAAAGUACUUUCAGCGGGGAGGCGUUACCCGCAGAAGAAGCACCGGCUAACGCCGUGCCAGCCGCGGUAAGUC
rnacentral:rRNA from 1 species